AUGCACAGACCUAGAAAUUCAAAGUUUGAGCCUUUUUAUCCCAAUUACAAAAUGAGAAAAAAAAAAAAAAGCAAUGGCAAACGGCUUCGAUCUCCGUCUCGUAAAACGGCUCACUAUAUUCGCAUCCAAGAAGAUGUUUUCGACACGAACGGCUUUCUCGUCGAUGAAGUCCCCACCGCCGCAAUAGCUGUCCAUUUUUUUGCUAGCUCAAAGUGGAGGGAGAAGGAUCAACAACAAAUAAAUUGAAAGUUUGAGGGAAGGGGAAAAUACAUCGAGAAAUUGGAAAACAUUUUUGACAAACCAUUGAUGAAGA
rnacentral:lncRNA from 1 species